GCAGUCUGCAACUCGAGUGCAUGAAGCUGGAAUCGCUAGUAAUCGCGGAUCAGAAUGCCGCGGUGAAUACGUUCCCGGGUCUUGUACACACCGCCCGUCACACCAUGGGAGUCGGGAAUGCCCGAAGCCGGUGGCCCGAUCGAAAGAAGGGAGCCGUCGAAGGCAGGCCGGAUGACUGGGGUGAAGUCGUAACAAGGUAUC
rnacentral:rRNA from 1 species